UGGGGAAUAUUGGACAAUGGGGGCAACCCUGAUCCAGCCAUGCCGCGUGUGUGAAGAAGGCCUUUUGGUUGUAAAGCACUUUAAGCAGGGAGGAGAGGCUAAUGGUUAAUACCCAUUAGAUUAGACGUUACCUGCAGAAUAAGCACCGGCUAACUCUGUGCCAGCAGCCGCGGUAAUACAGAGGGUGCGAGCGUUAAUCGGAAUUACUGGGCGUAAAGCGAGUGUAGGUGGCUCAUUAAGUCACAUGUGAAAUCCCCGGGCUUAACCUGGGAACUGCAUGUGAUACUGGUGGUGCUAGAAUAUGUGAGAGGGAAGUAGAAUUCCAGGUGUAGCGGUGAAAUGCGUAGAGAUCUGGAGGAAUACCGAUGGCGAAGGCAGCUUCCUGGCAUAAUAUUGACACUGAGAUUCGAAAGCGUGGGUAGCAAACAGGAUUAGAUACCCUGGUAGUCCACGCCGUAAACGAUGUCUACUAGCCGUUGGGGUCCUUGAGACUUUAGUGGCGCAGUUAACGCGAUAAGUAGACCGCCUGGGGAGUACGGCCGCAAGGUUA
rnacentral:rRNA from 1 species